AACGAACGCUGGCGGCAUGCCUAACACAUGCAAGUCGAACGAGACCUUCGGGUCUAGUGGCGCACGGGUGCGUAACGCGUGGGAAUCUGCCCUUCGGUUGGGAAUAACUGAGAGAAAUUUCAGCUAAUACCUUAUAAUGUCUUCGGACCAAAGAUUUAUCGCCGAGGGAUGAGCCCGCGUAGGAUUAGGUAGUUGGUGGGGUAAUGGCCUACCAAGCCGACGAUCCUUAGCUGGUCUGAGAGGAUGAUCAGCCACACUGGGACUGAGACACGGCCCAGACUCCUACGGGAAGCAGCAGUGGGGAAUAUUGGACAAUGGGCGAAAGCCUGAUCCAGCAAUGCCGCGUGAGUGAUGAAGGCCUUAGGGUUGUAAAGCUCUUUUACCCGGGAUGAUAAUGACAGUACCGGGAGAAUAAGCUCCGGCUAACUCCGUG
rnacentral:rRNA from 1 species